UACGUAGGGGGCAAGCGUUGUCCGGAAUCAUUGGGCGUAAAGAGCGUGUAGGCGGCUCGGUAAGUCCGCUGUGAAAGCCCGGGGCUCAACCCCGGGAGGCGGGCGGAUACUGUCGAGCUAGAGUCCGGAAGAGGCGAGUGGAAUUCCUGGUGUAGCGGUGAAAUGCGCAGAUAUCAGGAGGAACACCAAUGGCGAAGGCAGCUCGCUGGGACGGUACUGACGCUGAGACGCGAAAGCGUGGGGAGCAAACAGG
rnacentral:rRNA from 1 species